AUGCGUUAGCGACGGCGCGGAUCCCGUGAGUUGGAACCCACACCUAGUGCCCACCGUUUACGGCAUGGACUACCAGGGUAUCUAAUCCUGUUUGCUACCCAUGCUUUCGCUCCUCAGCGUCAGUUUCAGUCCAGAGUGGCGCCUUCGCCACCGGUGUUCCUCCUAAUAUCUGCGCAUUUCACCGCUACACUAGGAAUUCCCCACUCCCCUCCUGAACUCUAGUCAGAGCAGUAUCGGAUGGCGUCUCCGGGUUAAGCCCAGAGUUUUCACACCCGACUUACUCAACCGCCUACGAGCUCUUUACGCCCAAUAAAUCCGGACAACGCUUGGAGCCUACGUGUCACCGCGGCUGCUGGCACGUAGUUGGCCGCUCCUUCUUCUGCAGGUACCGUCAUUUUCGUUCCUGCUGAAAGCGGUUUACAGCCCGAAGGCCUUCAUCCCGCACGCGGCGUUGCUGCGUCAGGCUUUCGCCCAUUGCGCAAGAUUCCCCACUGCUGCCUCCCGUA
rnacentral:rRNA from 1 species